UCGAUUUGGACUUUUCAUCGUGGAUUCAUCGGCACGACUGAUUCAUUGGCCAUUAUUCUGGAUUUAAAUGUCAGCGAAGAAUACUCCAAAGUGUAGGAACCUUCUCAAACUUUGACACAUUCUUCAUCGACUCUGUGUGCUGUUUUAAUAAUCAUUGGAAACGAACCGGUUCCUGAAGACACGUUUCGAGGUCAGUGGAACAAGCUCCUUGAUGUUGUUAAAAAUUUCGAUUCGAAAAAUGAGAACAUAAUGAACAAAGUUUGGAGCGAAUAACGCAAUCGCUAAAACUACGUUCGUUAUCCAAUCGACACGCGCUCGGUUGCUAUAAUAUUGAGCAACGCACCAAGGCCUUCGUCGACCGACCUUGACUCCUCGCAUCAAACUGCUCGCCAUUGCUGACGAGCUCUUUGAUUUCUUUCACCAGCAACGAAGCGAACGUGACACUUUUCAUUGCAACAAAUUGACCGAAUUUUCUCCAUAUUUCAAUCUGCGAUGUUCAAACACGUGCGUUACAAUAAACACAACUGACGAGUCUCAGCGCAGUAAUCGAUGUAGAAAAUAAAAAAUGAGACGAACGUCGGUUUGGUGUCAUCGUUAGGCACGCCCAAGAUAGACAGAGCUAAUGAGAAUUAAAUUGUGAUUUCGUUGCGCAACGUAAAUGAAUUUUAAUGACUCACGACGCUGAUUAGAUUCGUGACAAAAAUGGCGGACGAUUGUCCGGAUAAUUUAAUCACGUUCGAAAUGAACUUCGCGAUGAUCAGCACAGAUAUUUGGGAACAGGCUUCGCCUGAUCGAUGUUUUCCCAAGCUGGAUUGUGCCGGCUUUUGACCAAACAAGGCGAAGGAAGGGAAAUGGUAGAAAAGAUGAAAUUUCGUGGCUUGGUUUGCUGCUUCGAGUGCUUUCGAAUCCUCGAUCAUAAAGUUAAACAACUCGCUUCGGGAAAUUGGCUGUUUGCAAUCGUUUCAAGUGAGCCUUGCGUCGCUUUUUCCUCGUCUCCUUCUCUCUCAUUCGCCACACAAGUUUUCUGUAAUUAACGCAACGAAUCAUGCUGCUUUCGGCCAUCGGGGACUGUCAAAGGUCUGUGAUGUUCAGUGAUUUGCCAAAAUGCCAUCUAACUAAGCUUCGACUCCCAUCGUCGCGAAGACGUUCAAGCCAGAAAACAAGGGACAACAAGCUCUACCCAGCCGUUUGACAACUCAUAAAAUUACUUUAGGGGACACCAGAGCAAAACGGAGUGCCUGAGGAAGUAUUCUGCUUUUUAGAAUUUUUAUAAGCUUCAUCUAUUACCAACACCAAUAAAUAUACUGUAAUUUUUGUCAAAAAAAUAAAAAAUAACCAAAUUUCUUGCCUCACAA